AGAGUUUGAUCCUGGCUCAGGACGAACGCUGGCGGCGUGCUUAACACAUGCAAGUCGAGCGAUGAAGCUUCCUUCGGGAAGUGGAUUAGCGGCGGACGGGUGAGUAACACGUGGGUAACCUGCCUCAAAGUGGGGGAUAGCCUUCCGAAAGGAAGAUUAAUACCGCAUAAUAUAAGAGAAUCGCAUGAUUUUCUUAUCAAAGAUUUAUUGCUUUGAGAUGGACCCGCGGCGCAUUAGCUAGUUGGUAAGGUAACGGCUUACCAAGGCAACGAUGCGUAGCCGACCUGAGAGGGUGAUCGGCCACAUUGGAACUGAGACACGGUCCAGACUCCUACGGGAGGCAGCAGUGGGGAAUAUUGCGCAAUGGGGGAAACCCUGACGCAGCAACGCCGCGUGGGUGAUGAAGGUCUUCGGAUUGUAAAGCCCUGUUUUCUAGGACGAUAAUGACGGUACUAGAGGAGGAAGCCACGGCUAACUACGUGCCAGCAGCCGCGGUAAUACGUAGGUGGCGAGCGUUGUCCGGAUUUACUGGGCGUAAAGGGUGCGUAGGCGGAUGUUUAAGUGGGAUGUGAAAUCCCCGGGCUUAACCUGGGGGCUGCAUUCCAAACUGGAUAUCUAGAGUGCAGGAGAGGAAAGCGGAAUUCCUAGUGUAGCGGUGAAAUGCGUAGAGAUUAGGAAGAACACCAGUGGCGAAGGCGGCUUUCUGGACUGUAACUGACGCUGAGGCACGAAAGCGUGGGUAGCAAACAGGAUUAGAUACCCUGGUAGUCCACGCCGUAAACGAUGGAUACUAGGUGUAGGGGGUAUCAACUCCCCCUGUGCCGCAGUUAACACAAUAAGUAUCCCGCCUGGGGAGUACGGUCGCAAGAUUAAAACUCAAAGGAAUUGACGGGGGCCCGCACAAGCAGCGGAGCAUGUGGUUUAAUUCGAAGCAACGCGAAGAACCUUACCUGGACUUGACAUCCCUUGCAUAGCCUAGAGAUAGGUGAAGCCCUUCGGGGCAAGGAGACAGGUGGUGCAUGGUUGUCGUCAGCUCGUGUCGUGAGAUGUUAGGUUAAGUCCUGCAACGAGCGCAACCCUUGUUAUUAGUUGCUACCAUUAAGUUGAGCACUCUAAUGAGACUGCCUGGGUAACCAGGAGGAAGGUGGGGAUGACGUCAAAUCAUCAUGCCCCUUAUGUCCAGGGCUACACACGUGCUACAAUGGUAGGUACAAUAAGACGCAAGACCGUGAGGUGGAGCAAAACUUAUAAAACCUAUCUCAGUUCGGAUUGUAGGCUGCAACUCGCCUACAUGAAGCUGGAGUUGCUAGUAAUCGCGAAUCAGAAUGUCGCGGUGAAUACGUUCCCGGGCCUUGUACACACCGCCCGUCACACCAUGAGAGCUGGUAACACCCGAAGUCCGUGAGGUAACCGUAAGGAACCAGCGGCCGAAGGUGGGAUUAGUGAUUGGGGUGAAGUCGUAACAAGGUAGCCGUAGGAGAACCUGCGGCUG
rnacentral:rRNA from 2 species